AUACGUAGGUGGCAAGCGUUAUCCGGAAUUAUUGGGCGUAAAGAGGGAGCAGGCGGCAGCAAGGGUCUGUGGUGAAAGCCUGAAGCUUAACUUCAGUAAGCCAUAGAAACCAGGCAGCUAGAGUGCAGGAGAGGAUCGUGGAAUUCCAUGUGUAGCGGUGAAAUGCGUAGAUAUAUGGAGGAACACCAGUGGCGAAGGCGACGAUCUGGCCUGCAACUGACGCUCAGUCCCGAAAGCGUGGGGAGCAAAUAGGAUUAGAUUCCCUAGUAGUCCACGCCGUAAACGAUGAGUACUAAGUGUUGGAUGUCAAAGUUCAGUGCUGCAGGUAACGCAAUAAGUACUCCGCCUGAGUAGUACGUUCGCAAGAAUGAAACUCAAAGGAAUUGACGGGG
rnacentral:rRNA from 1 species